UACGGGGGGGGCAAGCGUUGUUCGGAAUUACUGGGCGUAAAGCGCGUGUGGGCGGCAGGGCAUGUCGGAUGUGAAAUCCCGUGGCUCAACCACGGAAGUGCACCCGAAACUGCCCAGCUUGAGUCUCGGAGAGGAAGGCGGAAUGCUUGGUGUAGAGGUGAAAUUCGUAGAUAUCAAGCGGAACACCGGUGGCGAAGGCGGCCUUCUGGACGAUGACUGACGCUGAGACGCGAAAGCGUGGGGAGCAAACAGG
rnacentral:rRNA from 1 species